AGGGUCGAGCUGUUCCUGAUGUUUAUCGGAGACUGGGAUCAAAGCUAUCCAGGUCAUAAAUCUCUCUCUGUGGCUGUUGGGCCCCAGGGCAGCUGAAGAGGGUUGACAGCCCUUUGGACCUCAAAGGAAAAAAUGUGCUCUACUCCACCCACUCCCAGCUCUGCCAAGAAGCUGUCCUCUGAGAAGCCAUGGCUGGGCCGUUCCAUUCUGGGGAGCUGCUGAAAAGAGCUGGGAGGCCGAGAAGAACUUGCGUGUGCUGGGGGAGAGGAAGCCUGGCCUUGAGGGAGGGGUGCAGGGCUUCCCAGGAAUCAACAAUGCCCAAGAAGGAAGGGAUUGUAGAAAUAGCUUAACCCUUUCAUUUACCAACGUGGAAAUUGAAGCCCAGGGAAGGGAAGGG
rnacentral:lncRNA from 10 species